AACGAACGCUGGCGGCAUGCCUAACACAUGCAAGUCGAACGAAGGCUUCGGCCUUAGUGGCGCACGGGUGCGUAACGCGUGGGAAUCUGCCCUUUGGUUCGGAAUAACAGCUGGAAACGGCUGCUAAUACCGGAUGAUGACGAAAGUCCAAAGAUUUAUCGCCAGAGGAUGAGCCCGCGUUGGAUUAGGUAGUUGGUGGGGUAAAGGCCUACCAAGCCGACGAUCCAUAGCUGGUCUGAGAGGAUGAUCAGCCACACUGGGACUGAGACACGGCCCAGACUCCUACGGGAGGCAGCAGUGGGGAAUAUUGGACAAUGGGCGCAAGCCUGAUCCAGCAAUGCCGCGUGAGUGAUGAAGGCCCUAGGGUUGUAAAGCUCUAUUACCCGGGAAGAUAAUGACUGUACCGGGAGAAUAAGCCCCGGCUAACUCCGUG
rnacentral:rRNA from 1 species